GAUGAACGCUGGCGGCGUGCUUAACACAUGCAAGUCGAACGGAAAGGCCCUGCUUUUGUUGGGCGCUUGAGUGCCGAACGGGUGUGUAACACGCGAGUAACCUGUCCCUGACAUAGGGAUAACUUCAGGAAACUGGGGCUAAUACCGGAUAUUAUCUCUUGUUGCAUGGUGGGGGUUGGAAAGUUUCGGCGGUUGGGGAUGGACUCGCGGCUUAUCAGCUUGUUGGUGGGGUAGUGGCUUACCAAGGCUUUGACGGGUAGCCGGCCUGAGAGGGUGACCGGCCACAUUGGGACUGAGAUACGGCCCAGACUCCUACGGGACGCAGCAGUGGGGAAUAUUGCACAAUGGGCGGAAGCCUGAUGCAGCAACGCCGCGUGCGGGAUGACGGCCUUCGGGUUGUAAACCGCUUUCGCCUGUGACGAAGCGUGAGUGACGGUAAUGGGUAAAGAAGCACCGGCUAACUACGUG
rnacentral:rRNA from 1 species